rnacentral:misc_RNA from 1 species
CUUGGGGUUUUUUCUCUCUCUCUCUCUCUCUCUCAAAAAUCUUUGUCUCUUUGGUUCAGCGGUCUCCUCUGCCCGACCGAAGGGGGUAUGCCCGACUUGCUUCUGGGCAAGAUUGUGUGCAUAAAUAAAUAUGUCAUCUUUUGUGGUGAAUUGGUUCAGAUUAAGGAGGGCAUUUUAGAUCCAUGGUUGAAUGAUUGUCUAGAUUAGCUUUGGGUGUUGCAUGCAAGAAGUGAGUGAACCUCAAGAAGAAGAUACUUAAUAGAAUCAGCUUGCUAAUAGUUUUGAAGGAAGAAGUUGUUCUUCUUAAACAGCAGUUGUGCUUAUUGUAUUAGAGGCGUGAGCAUCUUCUUCGCUCGUUGGUGAAUGGAAGGCUAUAGCGCGAGUGGGUCGUUGUUGAACUAAGUUAUAGACGCCCUCUAGGUGCUAAUGAUGUAGAUUGUUUCACCUGUUUUUGUGACCUCUGUUUCUCUGUUCGUCAUGGCCUCACCCACCUAUGAGUCUAUGUUGCUUGUGGUUGUUUUGAAUCCUAGA